GGUGCGGUGCGAUAGCCUGGUAGUCGGCAGGACUGCUAAUUCUGUGCCCUUGUGGUUCGGGGGUUCAAAUCCCCCCCGCAUCA
rnacentral:tRNA from 1 species